rnacentral:tRNA from 1 species
GCCCGUGUAGCUCAGUGGUAGAGCAUUGUACUUAUGAGGAUAUCUACCCCUAUGCAAGGGUCUCGAGUUCGAAUCUCGGCAUGGGCA